rnacentral:snoRNA from 1 species
UGAGAUUGCUAUGAGGAUUAAAAAGCUCCCUCUUCUGAGUAUGGUUGAGGAUAUCUGCUGGCAGAAUCGAACCAUAUAACCAUUAGCCAUCACUGAGCAA